rnacentral:rRNA from 1 species
UACAGAGGGUGCGAGCGUUAAUCGGAAUUACUGGGCGUAAAGCGUGCGUAGACGGCUAUCUAAGUCGGGUGUGAAAGCCCCGGGCUCAACCUGGGAAUUGCAUUCGAGACUGAAUAGCUAGGGUGCGGUAGAGGGAAGCGGAAUUUCCGGUGUAGCGGUGAAAUGCGUAGAUAUCGGAAGGAACAUCAGUGGCGAAAGCGGCUUCCUGGACCAGCACCGACGUUCAGGCACGAAAGCGUGGGAGCAAAC